ACCGGCGGACGGGUGCGUAACGCGUAUGCAACUUACCCACUACAGGGGGAUAGCCCGUGGAAACAUGGAUUAAUACCCCAUAAUACAGGGGGCCCGCAUGGGUCUAUUUGUUAAAGAUUUAUCGGUAGUGGAUGGGCAUGCGUCUGAUUAGCUAGUUGGUAGUGUAAUGGACUACCAAGGCGACGAUCAGUAGGGGUUCUGAGAGGAUGAUCCCCCACACUGGCACUGAGAUACGGGCCAGACUCCUACGGGAGGCAGCAGUAGGGAAUAUUGGUCAAUGGGCGAGAGCCUGAACCAGCCAUGCCGCGUGCAGGAAGACGGCCUUCUGGGUUGUAAACUGCUUUUAUCAAGGAAGAAAAGGGCCCUGCGGGGCACAUUGACUGUAUUUGAUGAAUAAGCACCGGCUAACUACGUGCCAGCAGCCGCGGUAAUACGUAGGGUGCAAGCGUUGUCCGGAUUUAUUGGGUUUAAAGGGUGCGUAGGCGGCCCAGUAAGUCAGUGGUGAAAUCCUGCAGCUCAACUGUAGAUGUGCCAUUGAUACUGUUGGGCUUGAGUACAGACGAGGUAGGCGGAAUUUAUGGUGUAGCGGUGAAAUGCAUAGAUACCAUAAAGAACACCGAUAGAGAAGUCAGCUUACUAGGCUGUAACUGACGCUGAGGCACGAAAGCGUGGGGAUCGAACAGGAUUAGAUACCCUGGUAGUCCACGCCGUAAACGAUGUUCACUCGCUGUUGGCGAUACACAGUCAGCGGCCAAGCGAAAGCGUUAA
rnacentral:rRNA from 1 species